GUUCUCCUGAUCUAGAAGGCACCAGCGGCGUCUCGUGUCAGGGUUGGCUUGGCUUCGGCGUCUUGUUUCUGCUCUUUCGUCUCCCGCUGCCUGGUUUUUGUUCCCUCAGCCUCUAAUCGGCUUUUCCGGGUUCUGGGAUUCCAAACUUUACCCUCUCUUGGUGCCGCAGGAUUAUCCCUGUCGGAGAGGCCGGACUUCCCGGCUUGACGAGUGCGACUCGUUUCUUUGUUACUGAGGUCUUGAUGGUGGUCUUGGAACCUGAGGUCUGUCCCAGUUCGUUUCAUUGAGGAGGAAUACGGAGGGCUGGAGUCUUUCAUAAUCGCUUCUCUUUUCUGUGAGAAAAUAGAUAUAUAAACAGGCCCAUUUUGCAUUGGAUACACGGUUAACAUGUAAGCACCAAUGACUCUGUAAUGCGGAUGCCUGCAGAGAGAGCGUGUGGAUGACCUCUGUGUUUCUAUUCAUUUCCCAGAGGCAUGUAUUUUGCUUUCUGGAGAGGCUUCUGAAGUAGCUCUUAGCCCAAAGGUGAGGUGGCGCUGGGACCAAUAAUAAAGAUGUAUUUCUUUUUUUCUCGUAGCAGUCAAACUCAAGGUAAAACCUGGAAUAGUAUUUAAUAGGCGAAGUCUGCUGCAUACCAACUCGGAAGGAUUCACAUCAAGCUCACAACUUGUAUUGCAUUUAAUAGCCUGUAUUUAUUUUCAAUAUUUAUCGUCUCUGUCUGCUGCAUAAUAAUUGAGAAAACCUAAAUGUUAUAAAAAUUAUUGUACCGUUUUUGCUGAUUCACAUUCUAAGCCAUCGGGUUCAACCGUACUGCAGUUUAGGAUGUUGCAGCUCACAGGGUUUAUUAAUGCAGCUCAGUUGAAUGUGCUUUAUUGUCACAGAGGUUACAUCUGAUCUUCUAAUUAGUUUUUAAUUAAUUAGUGUUUAAAAAAAUGUUGUAGUUUCAUUAUUUAUGUACAUGAAUGACAGUUGUUUUUUUGGAAAUUAUCUUUGCUUAUAGUUUGGCAGUCAGAGCGUCUUUGUGCCCCAAGUGCAUCAAAAAUGUAUAUGAAAAGAAUUAGAAUCAAGUCAUGUGAUUUCAAUGUUGUUUUUAGACCACAAAGUGGUGCAGUGACCAAAGGGUGGUGAGCUAAUCUACGUUAAAUCUCUCUACAUGUCUGAUGGUGAAACAGUGGGACUCUUUACCAGCUCAGUUGCAAAAUCCAUCAACUGACAAGAUGAACUCAAACCAAUGGAGCUACUUGGGCCGAGGACUCCUUUCCUGUUACCCUGCAGUCCACAAAUUGACUUUGUUCUACAGGACACAAUGCAAGCACUCGCACACAAAGGCACACAACUACAGGUAUAUGCACAAUAGAAAGAGCCGAUGGAACGUGGUGAUAAAACAGCGUGAGGUUGAAGGGGAAGUUGAACAAUAGCUGCAGCUGCAGACCCGGUUCUCGUCGAGGUGGGAUUUAUGGCAAGGUGCCACAGACCCACACACACACACACAAUCCUGUGUAACAAUCAGGCCAUCGCUGUGACAAAGACCAUGUGUUAACUAUGCUCACAGAAAUCAUCUCUCACACACACACACACACACACAAACAAGCCCAGCAGGCUCUUACACAGAAAUCUAAACGCACUUUGUCACUGGUCUCUCAUCCCAGCAGGUAACACUAUGUCUUUUCCUUCUGUCUCGGUGCUCCUGUACGUCUCUACAUUGCUGUCUUUGCCUCUCUUUCGAUUUCUCAGCAGUCUCUGCUGAAUCCUCUUUCACACCUCCAGCCUCCCCACCACUCCCCCUCUGUCUCCCCCUCCUUUUUGCUUCCUCUCAUUCCCCCUAAGCAGUCUUUCCUAGAGCCCCUUUCAUGCUUUCCCCUCUCUCUCCCACUACACAUUUGCCCUCACUCACAGUCCGGCCUGAAGCGUCUCUCCCUCCCUCCCGCUCUCUCUCUCCCCCGCUAUCCCCCUCAUAUAUUCUUUUCUCUGCACCUGGCCAUGACUCUUCCCCCAUUGCUGUGGUUUCACCUCUCCACCUAUCUGACAGUUUCCACAUUAAUCAUUCUUACAUCCCCGAGAAGAGCUGUCUUCCCUUGCCUCUCUCUCUAUCUCUCUUUAUAAUUCUUAUUUUUUCUCUCUGCCUCUCACUUCCUUGUCACAUUGCAUAUCUUAUUCUCACAACUUGUUUCUCACCUCUCAUUAUAUCUCUAUUUAUGGACGUGCAAGCAAAAUGACAUCACCUUUCUCCCGGUUGUAACAAGUUAUCAUUUGUUGGCAAUAGCUGCAACAGGAUAUCUGAUUAUAUUUGAUUCUUAUUCAGUGGUCGGGGGGGUUUAAGGAUUUUAAUGUUAGACGUUAGCGAUAUAUCAAGAUAGCAGGACACUAAUUCGAGUGAGUGACUUUAUCGCACAAGAAGGCUGACUUUCUGUCAGCUUAUCCACACAAAAAAAAUACAAAUGUGCUAAUAGAUCAAAUCCUGAUAAUUCAGAGAGUAAUUUCCAUUAAGUGAUCUUUUAAUACCAAGUGUGGCUCCUCCUAUAGAAAUGAAAGGAAUGCGGUAAGAUUGAUGUUGGUCUGUCUUAGCGAGGAAAACAUCUAAUUUCAUUUGAAAGUGUAUUUCAGGUCAAUGUGAAGGCAACGAGGAAGCAAAAGGAAACCAAAUGACUUUGAUGAUUUCAUAGAAGAAAAUCCAUGAAAUCAAAGGCUGGCUUGCUACACGUUUGUGGCACUAUCGAGACGCCCCCGUCGUCAUGGCUAUCGUCACCUGCCGGUGUCUGUGUCCCACGAUGCAUUGCAACCCGCGCGGUCGCAUGGCUGGUGGUGGAACUGCAGUGACAUCUACUGAGGGAGGAAAGGAGAGGAGAGGCAGAAGGAAGAUUAAUGGGGGAAAGAGUGGGGGGGGGGAAGGUGACUCACAACGGUAUCUGAAAUGCAAUAAAGGAUUGUAGGGAAGAGCGAGAAUGCAAGAACCAAAUUCAACCUUGGAAAUGUAUUAUUACAUAUUCAGUUCAGGCCUUUUAAUAUCAGCACAAAUUAACUUUUUUUUUUUAAACAAAAGGCACCAUUUCAGCCGUCGCACUGGAAGUUUCACUGCUUUUCCCGGUUUUUCUAGAUGUUUCUUUUCGUCUCUGUAACCAGUAUUCAGUGCGGAUAAUUGCUUCUCUUUAGCAACAACAGCUCCGAACUGAUUUUUAUUCCAGUCAGCCGGCUUUGAUUCGGGCUGUGUCUGUAUUGUAAUUAUUGUCUUAGCCACCGGCUGUCAAACCCUAUUACGUGAGGUCAAACCCAAAUGACUAUCCCGAGCUGAUGACAAUAAUCUGACUACAGACACAUGCACAUCUCUUGGCCAGGCACAUCCACACAAAAAACACACUGACCGAGCUCACACAAAAUCACGCACAAAUAUGCAAUCAUGCACGCACACGAACACAAAAAGAACACAGAACGGUCAUAUUAGUCUUUGACAGUCAUCUUUGACAUGAAUAAUUCACAAGCUGGUUUACAUAAACCAUCCAGUCAGCUAUAGAUGGAUUAUAAUUACAGUAGUAUGUGCAGGAAGCAUUCAUCAUGUUAUGAUAAUAAAACUGUGAUGCUAGGCAUAUUCAAAUACUACUUUUGGGAUAUCGAGUGCAAACACCUUUCUGCAAAUCGCAUCCCGUUUCAUACAUAUUGUGCAAUUGACACAUGUUAUUUUGUGUGUUACUCUUCUACUCAAAAUAUUAAUAGUAACAAAAUGAAAUAAAGAGUUAAAGACUUAAAGAUAUUUUAAGUUUAAAUCCGUAUGUAGGUAUAAAAUAACAGGACAGUAUUUCAGCUGUUGUGCAAGCUAACUUGCAGUAGAAAACACUGUUAUGAUGGUGAAUCAUAUGACAUUGAAUGUAUGCAAGAUAUCCAUCGGAAGCAUGUUUUAUUACAUUUUUGGUUGGAUAACAGUCAAAAGCCCAAUACAUUAAAAUAACAGAAAUACACAUCAAGAGAAAACUAAUCAAUUUCAUAUUUCUCUCAUUAUUUGCAACAGAUGACAGUUACACCUCUGUUGAAGGUAUAACGGAUUAACGAACCAACCGUUUCAGCUCCUUUUGUUGUGGCUAAUUUGUUAUUUGCCAAAUAGAUGUUAGUCAGAAAUGUAAAUGCAGCCAGGACAACAAUUGUUUCUAUUUUUUCUCCCCCCAGGUGGAUGUGGUGGACAUCAGACCUUCAAAACCCAGCACGUGAACACCAAAGGCAGGAGUUCACGUUGUGAGUCGGCAACUAAAAGCACUUUGGUGAAUGUUAGUGAAGGACGUGGUCUCAAUUAAAUGUUGAAAAAGAAAACACGUUGCAUGUGAUGCUGAGUCUUUUAUCAUCUAAUCAAUAGUUAACCAAAAGCACAAUCCCUGCUCAACCCUAUCUGAGUGCUUUGACUGUCAAAAGACAGCAGAAAAAACACAAAUCAUUCAAGUGGA
ensembl:lncRNA